rnacentral:rRNA from 1 species
UACGAAGGAUCCAAGCGUUAUCCGGAUUUAUUGGGUUUAAAGGGUGCGUAGGCGGCCUAUUAAGUCAGUGGUGAAAGCCUGAUGCUUAACAUCAGAACUGCCAUUGAUACUGAUGGGCUUGAAUACACUUGAGGAGGGCGGAAUGUGUCAUGUAGCGGUGAAAUGCCUAGAUAUGACACAGAACACCGAUUGCGAAGGCAGCUUACUAAAGUAGCAUUGACGCUGAGGCACGAAAGCGUGGGGAUCAAACAGG